rnacentral:lncRNA from 1 species
UAAUAUAUAAAUCUACAAGCCAAUGAGACUUAGAACAUAACUUUUUACAAUGCAUGGGACAGGCUUAUUCAUUCUCACCAACUCAAAAUAAAGGUUAAUAUUGAAAGAAAGAAAAAAAUUGGUUUUGAUUCUUAAAACUACCUUUAAUUUGACUCUUUUUCAUAUAUAACACUCCAGUUGGUUAAUCAUAUUCAAAGGAAGGCAGUUACCUCACAAGUAGCUCUUAUGAUGUCAAACAUUCUAUAGCCUGAAAUUUCAACCUCAACCUUGACCUUCACUUCCCUCACAACCACUUGAAUUUUUACCCUCGCAGCCACUUGAGCUAAAAUGAAAACUCCACUUUGCUUUCAUCAGUUUUGGGGAUUGUUUUUAUACUGCUGUGGUGAAACAUUCUUCCCCUAAGAAAAUGCACAGGCCACUUUGCUCUGCAGUCAGGAGUUCAAGGCUUCUUCAAUUCUGCUAGGUCACAGCAGCCAGAGAAUCUAUCUGGGUCUGCAAGGUAAAAAUGGAUUGGACUAUUUCCUGUUGACUCCGUGAUAAGUCCUGAGAUAAAGUAUGAUAGUAAGAGAGAGAAGUUAUGAGACCUGCUAUCCCUAUUCCUGGUGCAGUGGAGAAGCCCAAGCCAACAAGCAGAGUAAUCAACUGGAUAGCCCUGUGCUAAUGGACCAAAGUUUCACCACAAGAGAAAGGCUCUGGUUUCCUGGGAUUAUCUGUUUUUGGGGUGAGAUAUGCCAACAUACAGAUCCUUGUACAUUUGAUAGAGAGGCCUAGGCAGCUCUCAUCAGGAAUUGGAAAGUUCCUCUGACCUCAGUGAACUUUCAGGCCCCUGCACUCUACAGUUUCUCCUUUUGUGAUAUGGCCUACAAGAGGAAGAUCCCAUGCCCCAGGGAGUGAGGAGAGCCAUGGAUUUUUAUGUCUGAAGUAGGACAGCACCCUGAGGAGGCGAGAAGGAGAACAUCGGCAAUAGCUGUGCUGUUUGUGCAGAAAGCUUCCUUUGAAGUUUCCACACCACAUGCGUGAGGUGCACCAUUGGCAUGGAUAUGGAGCCUUCAGUGUUCACGGGAAGCAAGAGGACAGCUGUAAACGGGGCCUGCACAUGUGAUCCAUCACCUGCUAAAUCAUAGGACUUUCCACUUGGAUAAAUUCACACCCCAACACAGAAGAUGCAGUUUCUUUCUGAACCUAUAAUGUUCUUUCCUUCUAAUAAAACAUGCAUGGCAAGGACAGUUCACAAAUAAAG